AUGUCCAUAGUCAUUGUGCUUUUAAUUUGCACUUCUCUGAUUACUAAUGAUGUCGAGCAUCGUUUUGUAAAUUUAUUGGCCAUUUGUGUUUCUUCUUUGUGAAGUGUUUAUCCAAGUCUUUCUCUGUUUUAUGUUCUGUUUAAAAAUGGGUUUAUGGGAAUUAAAAGUACAGUUCUUUGUUGGAUGCAUGUAUUGUGAAUAUUUGGUGGCUAUCUUUGCAUUUUUAUGUGUUUUUUAGCGAACAUAAAUCUAACUUAUCAAUAUUUUUGUCCUUGGUGCCUUUUUUACCUCUAUCUGGGAAAUCUUUGCCUACUCUUUGUCCUAAAUUAUUUUCUGGUUUUCUUGAUGCUUUAGCUUUACAAUUUCGGGUGUAAAACAUCUUGAGUGAGUUUGUGUGCCCGGUGAGAGGCGUGGAUCAAAGUUUGGUUUCCGAAGAGGACGCCUGUGGCCUGGCACCCACAGUCCUGUGCACCAUCUCUGGCGGCAACCUGAGCAAAGUGCGGGUCCUCAGCAGCCUCUGCCUUGGGGAGCAUCCCCAUGGCGACCUAUGGCAGGAACACAGCCCUGUGAGGUCAGAGCUGUCAGAAGCCCCUGAGAAGCAGUGUGCAUUGGGAAGGGGCCCGAGACACCAAUGGAAGAACCUGGAGCCAUUUCUGGAGACCCGGGGUUCGGUGACAUCACCUGAGUGCCUAACUGAGCCGGGUACUCUUCUGGACCUGGCGGUAGCUCCCUGGCCUCCAAGGAGCUUAGUUCACUGUGGCGUUGGAGGAGCUAACAAUAGGUGAGCACAUAAGCAGAUAUUUCUUGUGAUGAUGACCACACUGAAAAUAGAGACAAUGGCAGUGAG
rnacentral:lncRNA from 1 species